rnacentral:lncRNA from 1 species
GAAGUGUCCAUGCGUGAACAAGAUAACUGUAGUCUUCUAGUUGGCCGUUAACAAAUACUUCAAGUUCUUCCAGACGAUCAAUACCCAACUGAGCAUGAAUAGUUGACGGUUUCUCAUCGAAUUCGAUUGGCUGUGACAGUUUUGCAGACACAUAGAUUUCAAGAGUCUCGCACUCGAACGACAGUCCCACCCGUAUAUAUUUAUCCCAGCAAAUACAUCCCACAUAACCCCACAGCUUCUCAAUC